GUUUGAUCCUGGCUCAGAUUGAACGCUGGCGGCAUGCUUUACACAUGCAAGUCGAACGGUAACAGGGAGCUUGCUCCGCUGACGAGUGGCGAACGGGUGAGUAAUAUAUCGGAACGUACCCAAGAGUGGGGGAUAACGUAGCGAAAGUUACGCUAAUACCGCAUACGAUCUAUGGAUGAAAGCAGGGGACCUUCGGGCCUUGUGCUCCUGGAGCGGCCGAUAUCUGAUUAGCUAGUUGGUGAGGUAAAGGCUCACCAAGGCGACGAUCAGUAGCUGGUCUGAGAGGACGACCAGCCACACUGGAACUGAGACACGGUCCAGACUCCUACGGGAGGCAGCAGUGGGGAAUUUUGGACAAUGGGCGCAAGCCUGAUCCAGCAAUGCCGCGUGAGUGAAGAAGGCCUUCGGGUUGUAAAGCUCUUUUGUCAGGGAAGAAACGGCUGUGGCUAAUAUCCACGGCUAAUGACGGUACCUGAAGAAUAAGCACCGGCUAACUACGUGCCAGCAGCCGCGGUAAUACGUAGGGUGCAAGCGUUAAUCGGAAUUACUGGGCGUAAAGCGUGCGCAGGCGGUUUUGUAAGUCUGUCGUGAAAUCCCCGGGCUCAACCUGGGAAUUGCGAUGGAGACUGCAAGGCUAGAAUCUGGCAGAGGGGGGUAGAAUUCCACGUGUAGCAGUGAAAUGCGUAGAGAUGUGGAGGAACACCGAUGGCGAAGGCAGCCCCCUGGGUCAAGAUUGACGCUCAUGCACGAAAGCGUGGGGAGCAAACAGGAUUAGAUACCCUGGUAGUCCACGCCCUAAACGAUG
rnacentral:rRNA from 1 species